GAAAUGCGAUAAGUAAUGUGAAUUGCAGAAUUCAGUGAAUCAUCGAAUCUUUGAACGCACAUUGCGCCCCUUGGUAUUCCGGGGGGCAUGCCUGUUCGAGCGUCAUUUCAACCCUCACGCCCCGCGUGGUAUUGGGCCCUGCCGGCGACGGCAGGCCCUAAAGCGAGUGGCGGCGCCCGAUGGCCCUGAACGUAGUACAUCUCUCGUUACAGGUGCCGGAGGGACGCUGGCCAGCAACCCCAACUUUCUAUGGUUGACCUCGGAUCAGGUAGGGAUACCCGCUGAACUUAA
rnacentral:misc_RNA from 1 species